GGGGACGAUUUUGGUUUCGACUGCGAUAGCGGUUUUACAGCUGCAUGCCGAGUGCGCUGGCAACUCGUAAAAAAUGGCAGGCUUAAACAUACGUGCAAACAAUAAUCUUGCACUGGCAGCUUAAUUAACUGUCACGUCUUUAGGCCGUUUGCUCCUCUGGGACAUCUAAAGGCGUCAUAUACAGGGGAUAGCCCGAUUCUCCCGCCCCGGGGAAGAAGGCGAAUCAAUACGGGGCUCGGAUGUUCAUAACGGCGCCUUUUCCCGGUGGGACAUUCUAAAUAAAAUGAAAAGGAUAAGCAUGUAGAGGUUGUAGGGCUGGAUUGUAGGACGCGGGUUCGACUCCCGCCGUCUCCACAU
rnacentral:tmRNA from 1 species